rnacentral:rRNA from 1 species
ACGAACGCUGGCGGCGUGCUUAACACAUGCAAGUCGAACGGUGAAGGGACCAGCUUGCUGGUUCUGGAUGAGUGGCGAACGGGUGAGUAACACGUGAGUAACCUGCCCCCUUCUUCUGGAUAACCGCAUGAAAGUGUGGCUAAUACGGGAUAUUCUGGGUCUGUCGCAUGGCGGGCCCGGGAAAGAUAUUGCUUCGGUGGGGGAUGGGCUCGCGGCCUAUCAGCUUGUUGGUGGGGUGAUGGCCUACCAAGGCGGUGACGGGUAGCCGGCCUGAGAGGGUGGACGGUCACACUGGGACUGAGACACGGCCCAGACUCCUACGGGAGGCAGCAGUGGGGAAUAUUGCACAAUGGGCGCAAGCCUGAUGCAGCGACGCCGCGUGAGGGAUGGAGGCCUUCGGGUUAUAAACCUCUUUCGCCAGUGAAGCAGGCCUGCUCCUUGUGGGUGGGUUGACGGUAGCUGGAUAAGAAGCGCCGGCUAACUACGUG